CAGGCGGGGCAGGGCGGCGAGGAGGCCGACGCUCCAGUCAGAGGAGGGGGGGACAGACACACGGACCGGAGCGGAGAACGGACGUACACACGCAAGCAGAGCGGGGUGGACUGACCAGAUGUCAGGGAAGGACAGCCGGACAGGUUGGACAGAGGCAGGGGGCAGGGGGACCACGUCAGGGUCAGUGAGUGAGCAGAGGGCAGAAUGGCAGGUGGGGGCGGCAGACGGGUACAGCAUGGCAGGGGCUCCCGUUCCUAGUUGCAGCUCGGCCCUGGCAGACACAGGCCUGCUCUGGGGUGAUUCUUGGCCUGGGGAAGGGACCUGACUUCCAGAACCAGCUCUGCCCAAACCCUGCUUUGGGGCCUCGGAUUCAUCAAUAGCAACAAAGAGAAAACUGACAAGGAAGAUGACAAAAAAGUGUCUAUGAGGAAACUGGCUUGGUGAUGUUAAGACAUGUGCCUCUACUUCUAAGGGAAGGGAGCUGCCUGACAUCCAAGAAAAUUGACUACAAGAAUUCAUGCUCAAAACUACGAGAUCACCUGGAUGGGGACUGAGUUUUCUAGGACAGUUAUAUUAGAGCUAAAACCCGGAUAUUCCUGUGCAAACCAGGAUUUGCAGGAAUGGUCUCCGCUGUGUUUAGGUGUAGGUAACUGUCUUCACCAGAGGUGUGCCCAAUACACGCAGGAGUUUUUCUUUAGGGCUAUUGUCACUAAGUUCUAAGUGUUGCAUUUGCAACAGAUCACUUUUCCCACUUCGCUAUGACCUGCAAGACAUUGGUUGCAUUAUGUGGUGCCCCAGGCAGGGCUUUAUUAGCUCCUUCUGGAUGCUCUGUGCCUGUAAGUCUUUCUCUGCUCAGCUAGGAAAAGUUUGAGCUCAGAGGUGGCAUUUUGUUUGUUUCCUUUGAUGGGAAGAUUGACUUCCGGUCUAGAGCUGCAUCUGAAAAAACUGCCUUUUGCACCCCAGCUUCCUGUGUAACAGCACUAAACAUCCCCCCAGCAGUCAUUACUUGGGCUCGUCGUAAAUUAACUCCAGUUCUGCACCCUUAGUUAAAAGCACAUUGCAAAGAACUGUGAAGCACCUCUCCCAGACAGGACAGAUGACUGCUGGAAGGGCUGAAAUUGGCCUCAUCUGUUUCUCUUCUAUCCUUGAGAAAGAGCAGCAGUGCAGACUUCUAUGUGGGUCACCUACCUGGAAAACCAGUUUUCCCUCAUUCAUAGAAUGUAAUUGUUUUGAUCUGGAAAGUAGCUGGGAAGUUGAGGGUAAAGAACUCCAAAGGCUAAGAGGUAUAGGAAUCACAGACCAAGUGCAAAGAAAGCCUUUCAGAAGCAAACGCAUAAUAAAGUUAAUUAGCUUCCCAAUAAUGGCUUUUCAAAAAGUAAUGACUUCAGAAGCAAUCUAGAGCUGAUCAUGGUGGGGCAUGCUUGUAAUUCUGGUACUUGGGAGGUUGCAGCAUGAAGAUUAUGAUGAGUUCAAGGCGAGUCUGGGUAACAUAGCAAGACCUUGUCUCAAAAAGUAAUUUAAAAGUGUUG